rnacentral:rRNA from 1 species
CGAAGCGGAUAGAGCAGUCGAAAGAUGGUAGCAAUGAGUUGAUCGGGUGUUGGCUUCGGCUCAGCACAUCGGUUGAUGCACUUGUUAUUUGUUGCGCUGGCACGGUUGAUGAUGCCGUUGGAAGUGGUUGUAGAGGUGCUGUUCUUCGGAAGGGUAAACCUGCAAUCAUGAAAGACGUGUUGUUGUUAAUCGAUGUUGUUACAACAACGCAACAGUGAGUGUGCUGUAAGUGUGAGUGUUGACUAUGGGUCUUCGCAUGCGAAGGCCUUAGCCAGUGCUUAUGCUUGUAGUAUUAUGAUCUGAGGCGUUUGUCAGUGUACAUUUGUACUGUCACCUAUCCGUCCCGUCUUGAAACACGGACCAAGGAGUUUAUCGUAUGUGCGAGUUAUUGGGUGAUUAAAACCUAA